GCCCUCAGAUCUCAUACACGGUAAGGCUCAUGGUUUUCAUUAAAGGCCAGUCCACACCUUCAAAAUAAUAAUAAUAAUAAUAAUAAUUGUCAUAACACAGAGGCUGAUGAAGAAGGAGGAGAAGGGGGAGGCUAUUAAUGAAAACCAUAUAACCACACAUGAGUUUUCCAUCAUUGGGCAUUUGCUCACCACAAUGAAAAAGAUAACCACAAUUUCGGAUAUCCACCUGUGAUUCACUAGUGAUAUAAUGAGUUCAUCAAUCUAUACCAAUUGACCUUUUUAAAUAAACCCAUUCGAUGAUUCGAUUUCUUGAAAGGCAACAAGCUGAGGCAAAAAGCUUCUUGCUUAGCAGAUUGUCUGAAGUUCCAACUUGCAUAUAAACUCAUGCUCUUCAAAAAAGCAAACAUAGAUCUUUCUCAAAAGGCAAUAUUAAAAAACAAAGAAGUAAAAAUUCAGUGGGAGUGGUAAUGGCAUAUGAAAAUUUAAAACCAUAACUUUCAUCACAUGCUAAAACUGGGUUGAUCUAAAAGGAAAUGUAAGAGAAGUGAAGGACAAAAAAAAGAAAGAACCAGACAAUAACAUCUAUUGAUAGCCCUCAGAUCUCAUAGCUAUUAUUAGUCAUCGUCAGUUAUAACAAACUGAUUCUUAUUAAGAGCCUCCACAUCUUCAACCACAGUAGAAAAGAGAGAUAGAGAGAGAGAGAGAGAGAGAAAGAGAGAGGUGGUGGUGGUGAGGCUGAUGGUGAGGAUGAGAGUAAAGGCUCCUAAUAAAAAUCAAUUUAAACCCUCCACAAAAUAAGUUUUCCAUCAUCGGGCAGAUGUUCAUAUUGAUAUUAUUGUCGACUGAAAAAUCAGGAUACACCUAUAAUAAGAGAGGACUGCAUGCAAGAAAACAGUUCAUUUAUAAAAAAUAAAAAUAAAAAAACAGAAAGAAAGAUAAAAGAUGAAAUAAGAAAACCAAUUCAUAAACAAACAAAAUGUGUAAUUAUACUAAAACAAUUUGAGCUUAAAGCAGAAGUACAACAGGAAAAAUACAACAGCAGCUUAAACCUAUAAUCAGUUUGGGUGGGUCAGAUGUGUUCAGCUAAAUAAUGUUUCAAUGAUUAAAUGAAAUAGGACCAUAUGAAAAAUUAUGCAGUAUCUGCCCACCAAUAACCAAAAGAAAUAAACAAGGGCAAAUCCCAAAUAAAUAAAUUUUCAAAUCUCAAACCAUCAAUCUAAAUUAAGCUAUAGAAGUAAUAAUGCCAAGAAGAACAUCAACAGAAUACUAGAAAAAUCCAAGGAAUAAAUAAUGGAUAGGAUUAAAUGGAUGCAAUAUCCUCAAGAAAUGGACACCUGUAAAUACCACAAAAGCAAAUAGCUUACAAUUGGUCUAUAUCUUGUCAUAGCUGAGCACAUCUAUAAGAUAUACACACCACCAAAAUAACUUUAUUCUACUACAUAAUGUUGUUUAAUCAUAACAUCAACUUAUUCAAAUAUGCAAAAGGCAGUUAGUACAGUUCACCUGCUGAUCUUCAAGACUUAAACCAACCAGCACUGUACCCAUAUGAGAUAAGAAACACUCCAUUCACAUAAGCUUCCAGCACUAGUACCAUAGAAAAAUAAUACACAGUGCUAACUUCAACAUCACCCCCAUAGGCAUCGAAAUCUCAGAAAAUAACAAGACAAAACCAUUGGAUAUAACAAUAGUCUCCAAAACAAGUCUCAACUGGGCGAGUAUCAGUGAGAACUUCAUUCCCAAGAUUAAGAGCCAUUCAAAAUACUAGAAAAGCUCAAACUUCAUAUGAGACAAAAUGGGUUUUUUUUUUUUUUUUGCAAAUCAAGUUUCCAUUCGAAAAACAUAGAUAUGAAGAGUACAUUUACAUGGUUCUCAUUAACCUAAAAAGAUUGUCAACAGUUCAAUGUCUUAGAUGCCAUAUUACAAUAUAUAAACAAGUAAAGCCCUCAGAUCUCAUAGCUACCAAUAUUCAUAGAAGGUAAAGCUUGUAAUUUUCAUUAGAAGCCAAUCCACAACUUGAUAAUAAUAAGAAUGCUAACAGCAGUAGUAAGAAGAAGAAGAAGAAGAAGAAGAAGAAGAAGAUGAUGAUGAUGAUGAUGAGGGAGGCUCCUAGUGAAAACCACAGCAACCACACCAAAUAUGAGAAUUCCAUCAUAGGGCAGAUGGCCAAGAUUCAAAAGCUUUGUCAUCCAUGGUUUAUAGAAUGAAAUAGUCCAGAUAAUAAGAACAUAAAAGAGAGCAUAAUCACAAAGGAAGGAAUGGUAAGAAGAGGUCAGAAGAGCCAAAGAAGAAACGAGCAUAAAGACUCCCGCAGAAACCAUAAACAAAGCUGCUUCGGAAAAACACAUUCAGAAUUACAAGGAAGCAGAUUUCACAAUCAAUAGUAAUUGUAACAGAAGUUCUCAUUUGUUUAAAAGACAAUAAUAACACACGUUGUGCAUUAUGGGAUCAAAGAAAAGAUCAAGAAGCAACCCAUGUUAAGGACUUGCCUGACUUUUAGGGGAAAAAAAAAGGUGAUCAUAGGUACAACAAAGCACUUAAAACAGUGUAGACAAACUUGAUAACGCAACUUGGCCCCUCAAAUUUGUUGAAAAAUGGUGAGACUGAGGUUCCGACUAGUGCGUUUUUUAAUGAACCACACUGACCUCUCAAAAGGCUAUCUUAAUUAUAUAAUUCUGUGAAUAAAAAGGUCAAAACAUGCACAUAGUUAAAUUGAUCUCAAAUAAUAGCAGGAUAACAAAAUAAAGCACCCAUCACGUGUGUGACCCAUAGGAUGAAAAUCCGUUGCACCAAGUAAUUUCACUAGUCUUAACUCAGGUCGUAAGGGUAUAUUUCCAAUCAUUCAAAAAGUCAGCAACUUAAUUCAUGUAAUUGAAACUCCACCAGUAACCUAAUGACACCAAAAUAACAAUGUGAUAGUUGUCUGAUAUUUAAACCAAUCGAAAUCCAUUCUGAGGCAGUAGCAAUGAUAGAAGAAAACAUUUCAAUAGUUAUACCUAAACCCGAUUCAAAAACCAAAACACUUGAUCAAAUGAAACAAAAAAGAAAGGACGCAAUGGAUAGAAAAUCGCAAAAAAAAAAAAAAAACAUAGACAAAAAUAUACUAAAAAAGCCCUCAGAUCUCAUAGCUAUCAUAAGUCAUUGUUAGUAAAACAAACCGGUUUUUAUUAAGAGCCUUUCCACAUCUUUAUCCAUACUAAAGAGAAUGUGAAAGAUUGAGGGAGGAAGAGGAGAGAUAGAGAGAGAGAGAGAGAGAGAGAGAAAGCGAGAGAGAGAGAGAGAGAAGACAGAUUAAGAAGAAUAUGGCGAGGAUGAUAGUCAAGGCUCCUAACAAAAACGACUGCAACCCCCUCCAUAGAAUGAGUUUUCCAUCAUUGGGCAGAUGAAUUGAAAUAAUAACUAAUAAUCAGAACACCAGCCAUGAAUGCUUGUAAGAAACAAUUAUAAGUUUAAAAGAUUAAUUAAAAAAUUAAAAUAUAUAUAUAUCAUAAAAGAAAACAUAAUGAUCAAAACAAAUUGAAGACCACAAUAUUCUCCCUAUCUGAAGAUAAAUGAAACAAGACAUCAAGAUUUGUUUUCUUGGUUAAUAUUCAAAUAUGUUGACAAAACCAACAAAAACUCCAUACCAAAAAAGUAAUUGCAACAUUUAAAG
rnacentral:lncRNA from 1 species